rnacentral:rRNA from 1 species
AUUGAACGCUGGCGGCAUGCCUUACACAUGCAAGUCGAACGGCAGCUCGGGAGCAAUCCUGGUGGCGAGUGGCGAACGGGUGAGUAAUAUAUCGGAACGUGCCCAGUCGUGGGGAUAACGUAGCGAAAGCUACGCUAAUACCGCAUACGAUCUAUGGAUGAAAGCGGGGGAUCGCAAGACCUCGCGCGAUUGGAGCGGCCGAUAUCAGAUUAGGUAGUUGGUGAGGUAAAGGCUCACCAAGCCGACGAUCUGUAGCUGGUCUGAGAGGACGACCAGCCACACUGGGACUGAGACACGGCCCAGACUCCUACGGGAGGCAGCAGUGGGGAAUUUUGGACAAUGGGCGCAAGCCUGAUCCAGCAAUGCCGCGUGCAGGAUGAAGGCCUUCGGUUGUAAACUGCUUUUGUACGGUAACGAAACGGUAGAGCUCUAAUACAGUUUGCUAAUGACGGUACCGUAAGAA